AUUGAACGCUGGCGGCAGGCUUAACACAUGCAAGUCGAGCGGGGUGAUGGUGCUUGCACUAUCACUUAGCGGCGGACGGGUGAGUAAUGCUUAGGAAUCUGCCUAUUAGUGGGGGACAACAUCUAGAAAGGGAUGCUAAUACCGCAUACGUCCUACGGGAGAAAGCAGGGGAUCACUUGUGACCUUGCGCUAAUAGAUGAGCAUAAGUCGGAUUAGCUAGUUGGUGGGGUAAAGGCCUACCAAGGCGACGAUCUGUAGCGGGUCUGAGAGGAUGAUCCGCCACACUGGGACUGAGACACGGCCCAGACUCCUACGGGAGGCAGCAGUGGGGAAUAUUGGACAAUGGGGGGAACCCUGAUCCAGCCAUGCCGCGUGUGUGAAGAAGGCCUUAUGGUUGUAAAGCACUUUAAGCGAGGAGGAGGCUUACCUAGUUAAUACCUGGGAUAAGUGGACGUUACUCGCAGAAUAAGCACCGGCUAACUCUGUGCCAGCAGCCGCCGUAA
rnacentral:rRNA from 1 species